UACGUAGGCAGCGAGCGUUGUUCGGAGUUACUGGGCGUAAAGGGUGUGUAGGCGGUUGUUUAAGUUUGGUGUGAAAUCUCCCGGCUCAACUGGGAGGGUGCGCCGAAUACUGAAUGACUUGGAGUGCGGGAGAGGAAAGUGGAAUUCCUGGUGUAGCGGUGAAAUGCGUAGAUAUCUGGAGGAACACCGGUGGCGAAGGCGGCAUCCUGGACCGACAUCGACGCUGAGGCGCGAAAGCUAGGGGAGCAAACGGG
rnacentral:rRNA from 1 species